CUACCUGAAUCCUCUCCUGAGAGAAGAGCCUAGCAACAAGAUGAAGCAAGCCAAGUCUGUGGGUGACCUCGCCCCACCUGAAUGGGACUGGAGGAGUAAGGGGGCUGUCACAAAAGUCAAAGACCAGGGCAUGUGUGGCUCCUGCUGGGCCUUCUCAGUCACAGGCAAUGUGGAAGGCCAGUGGUUUCUGAACCAGGGGACCCUACUCUCCCUCUCUGAACAGGGUGAGCAUCUCGCUCUAUCCCUGUGUCCUCAGCCUAGCCCCUCAGGAGGGCUUCUUGGGACCAGCCUUCUGUCUCCUAGAGCUCUUGGACUGUGACAAGAUGGACAAGGCCUGCAUGGGCGGCUUGCCCUCCAACGCCUACUCGGCCAUAAAGAAUUUGGAGGAUGACUACAGCUACCAGGGUCACAUGCAGUCCUGCAACUUCUCAGCAGAGAAGGCCAAGGUCUACAUCAAUGACUCCGUGGAGCUGAGCCAGAAUGAGCAGAGUGAGUGAGGGGCGGGGUGAGGUGAGGUGAGGUGGGGCCGGGGCCUGGGUGCCUACUGAUGCCACCCCUUCCCAUCUCAGAGCUGGCAG
rnacentral:sRNA from 1 species